GGCCUCCCGACCCCGGUGCGUCCACCCCGCAGGCUCGUCUUCAAUUCCUGUGUCGGUGGACAGCGACCGCCCGACUUGUGCAUUACACAGACGGGAAUCAGGAAGAACAUUCCAUCAUCCCCCAAAAGCAGCCCCGUCCCCAUCAGCAUCAGCCCCAGCCCCUGGCCCCCACGAGCCCGCUCUCUGUCUGUGGAUCUGCCUGUUCUGGACGUUUCCCGUCCAUGGGAUCACACGCCGUGUGUCCUUCUGUGUCUGCUUCUCUCCCUGAGCGUCGUGGGUGCAGGUCCGUCCAUGUGCAGCCGUGUCAGGGCCUCGCUCCUCUUCACGGCUGCGUCGUGCUCCAGGCUGUGGACGUAGGAAGGUAACUUCGGAUGCAAACCUGUGUUGGGACAGGUGGCCGCACGCUGACAGCACCCCCCACCUGGGGUACAGCUCAGCGGCAUGAAGCACAUUCACGUUGCUGUGCAGCCAUCCCCUCCAUCCGUCUCCAGAACUUUCCAUCUCCCCAAACUGAAGCUCUGUCCCCAGGAAACACUGACUCCCACCCCUCCCCCAGCCCCUGGCCCCCCAUCCACUUUCUGUCUCUGUGGAUGUGGCUCCUCUGGGGACCUCCUGUGAGUGGACCACACAGUGUGUGUCCCUCUGUGUCUGGCUGAUGUCAUUGAGCAUCACGUCCUCCAGGUCCGUCCACGUGGGAGCAGGAGUCAGGAUCUCCUUCCUUUUCACGGCUGCGUAAUAUUCCAGGGUGUGGACGGACCUCGCUGUGAGUGUCCAUCAUCCGUGGCUGGAUGCUCGGGGUGCUUCCUCCUUUCCUGUGAAUCACGCUGCUCUGGACACAGGCGCGCGGAUCUCUCCACGUCCCGGAUUUCAAUUCUUUUCGG
rnacentral:lncRNA from 1 species